UCGUGCACGCCCGAGUGUGUCGCCUCACAUAAUAAUCCAUCUCACCCUUUGUGCAUCACCGCGUGGGCACCCCUUUGGGAUCAUCUCGGAGGGGGCUCGCGUUUUCACACAAAACCCCCCUUUUAAAAGUGUAGAAUGACCUCAUUUAUGCGCUAACCCGCAAUCAAUACAACUUUCAACAACGGAUCUCUUGGCUCUCGCAUCGAUGAAGAACGCAGCGAAAUGCGAUACGUAAUGUGAAUUGCAGAAUUCAGUGAAUCAUCGAAUCUUUGAACGCACCUUGCGCCCCCUGGUAUUCCGAGGGGCACACCCGUUUGAGUGUCGUGAAAACCUCAACCUCCUUGGUUUCUUCUGGAGACCAAAGCAGGCUUGGACUUUGGAGGCCUUUGCUGGCACCUCUCGCCAGCUCCUCUUAAAUGAAUUAGCAGGGUCCUCUUUGCUGAUCCUCGACGUGUGAUAAGAUGUUUCCAUGUCUUGGUUUCUGGCUCUGUCACCUUUGGGACCCGCUUCUAACCGUCUUCAACCUUGCGUUGAGACAACGUUCGAGCAUGUCUCCCUUCUCGGGAAGCUCCCUCGACCCCACGAACCCUUGACCUCAAAUCGGGUGAGACUACCCGCUGAACUUAAGCAUA
rnacentral:misc_RNA from 1 species